UCCCUGGUGGUCCAGUGGUUAGGACUCCGCGCUUUCACUGCGGUGGUCCAGGUUCAAUCCCUGGUCGGGGAA